UACGUACGGGGCAAGCGUUGUCCGGAAUCACUGGGCGUAAAGCGCACGUAGGCGGUUUGUCAAGUUGGGGGUGUAAGCUCUGGGCCUAACCCAGAAAUUGCCUCCAAAACUAGCAUACUUGAGUAUUAGAGGGGAAGCUGGAAUUCACGGUGUAGCGGUGAAAUGCGUAGAUAUCGUGGAGAACACCCGUGGCGAAGGCGGGCUUCUGGCUAAUUACUGACGCUGAGGUGCGAAAGCUAGGGGAGCGAACGGG
rnacentral:rRNA from 1 species